CUUGGUCAUUUAGAGGAAGUAAAAGUCGUAACAAGGUUUCCGUAGGUGAACCUGCGGAAGGAUCAUUAUCGAGUUCUGACUGGGUUGUAGCUGGCCUUCCGAGGCACGUGCACGCCCUGCUCAUCCACUCUACACCUGUGCACUUACUGUGGGUUUCAGAUCUGUGAAGCGUGCCCCUUGCGGGGCUUCGUGAAGCGCGUCUGUGCCUGCGUUUAUCACAAACUCUAUAAAGUAUUAGAAUGUGUAUUGCGAUGUAACGCAUCUAUAUACAACUUUCAGCAACGGAUCUCUUGGCUCUCGCAUCGAUGAAGAACGCAGCGAAAUGCGAUAAGUAAUGUGAAUUGCAGAAUUCAGUGAAUCAUCGAAUCUUUGAACGCACCUUGCGCUCCUUGGUAUUCCGAGGAGCAUGCCUGUUUGAGUGUCAUGAAAUCUUCAACCUACAAGCCUUUGCGGUUUGUAGGCUUGGACCUGGAGGCUUGUCGGCCCUUUGUCGGUCGGCUCCUCUUAAAUGCAUUAGCUUGAUUCCUUGCGGAUCGGCUCUCGGUGUGAUAAUGUCUACGCCGCGACCGUGAAGCGUUUGGCGAGCUUCUAACCGUCUUCGCUUGAAGACAGCUUUAUGACCUCUGACCUCAAAUCAGGUAGGACUACCCGCUGAACUUAAGCAUAUCAAUAAGCGGAGGA
rnacentral:rRNA from 1 species